CCUACGGGAGGCUGCAGUGAGGAAUAUUGGUCAAUGGACGGAAGUCUGAACCAGCCAUGCCGCGUGAAGGAAGACGGCUCUAUGAGUUGUAAACUGCUUUUGUAUAAGGGUAAACCUGAAUACGCAUACUCAGCUGCAAGUACUGUACGAAUAAGGAUCGGCUAACUCCGUGCCAGCAGCCGCGGUAAUACGGAGGAUCCAAGCGUUAUCCGGAUUUAUUGGGUUUAAGGGGAGCGUAGGCGGAUUGAUAAGUCAGUGGUGAAAGGUCCAGGCUCAACCUGGGAAAUGCCUUUGAUACUGUUGAUCUAGAGAGUAGAAGCGGUAGGCGGAAUGCAUGGUGUAGCGGUGAAAUGCUUAGAGAUCAGAAAGAACACCGAUUGCGAAGGCAGCUUACCAAUCUAUAUCUGACGUUGAGGCACGAAAGCGUGGGGAGCAAACAGGAUUAGAUACCCCAGUAGUC
rnacentral:rRNA from 1 species